GUGUCAGAGGCCGACCACGUGUACUGUGGAGACUGUCAAAGUCUCCCGGAGCCCAAUUUCCGGAAGCGGAUGUGCACCUCCUUAAUAGCGCCCGACCGGACAAGAGGAAGCUGGGAAGCCUGGGUGAUGUGGACUCCACUACGCUAACCCCAGAGCUGCUGCUGCAGAUCAGAUGCCUAGUGUCAGGCCUCAGUUCUCUGUGUGAACAUUUAGGAGUACGGGAGGAGUGUUUUGCUGUAGGUUCCUUAAGUCAGGUCAUCGCUGCGGAUCUGGCCAAUUAUGCCCCUGCAAAGAACAGGAAGAAGACUGCUGCAGGCAGGGCAUCAGUGGUUUUUGUGGACAGAACCCUGGAUCUCACAGGAGCAGUUGGACAUCAUGGAGACAACUUAGUAGAGAAGAUCAUUUCAGCACUUCCCCAGCUCCCAGGCCACACAAAUGAUGUGAUGGUUAACAUGAUAGCGCUCACUGCACUCCAUACUGAGGAGGAAAAUUAUAAUGUGGUUGCACCAGGCUGUCUUUCACAAUCCAG
rnacentral:lncRNA from 1 species